rnacentral:rRNA from 1 species
AUGCAAAAUGCUUUACGAAGUACAAUGCCCCACACCCGUCAUAGGUGGUGCAGAUGGCAUGUGUUAAAGGUCUUGAAAGAGAAAAUUGGACACGUGUACAACAAACAUUCUGCCUUCAAGAAGGAAUUCCACGCAUUUGAGCGAAAGUGGCAUCAAUUGAUUAAAAAAUACAAACUUCAAGGAAACAAGUACCUUCGCAGGAUUUUCAAGUGGAGGGACAUGUGGGCAAUGCCAUACUUCAUGGGCACAUUCUGUGCCGGGAUGACCAGCACGCAACGGAGCGAGAGUGCGAAUCAUCUCCUCAAAAAGUUCAUCAGCAGAUCAUCCCCAAUGCACUUGUUUGUUAAGCAGUACAACAAAUUGCUUGAUUCCAGGAGCCAGGCAGAAGACGAGGCAAAUUAUGUCAGCAAGCAGACACGCAGGCGGCUUGUAAUUGGCGCUACUAUCGAGAUAGAUGCAGCAGCUGUGUACACGAAGGCUUUGUACAAAAAAAAUUCACACGAACUUUUUAGAACAGGCUCAUUUGAUGCACACCGUUCCAAGCCUGGACACGUCUACAAGGUCAAAUUG